rnacentral:rRNA from 1 species
GUGAACGCUGGCGGUAGGCCUAACACAUGCACGUCGAACGGCAGCACAGUAAGAGCUUGCUCUUACGGGUGGCGAGUGGCGGACGGGUGAGGAAUACAUCGGAAUCUACUUUUUCGUGGGGGAUAACGUAGGGAAACUUACGCUAAUACCGCAUACGACCUACGGGUGAAAGCGGGGGAUCUUCGGACCUUGCGCGAUUGAAUGAGCCGAUGUCGGAUUAGCUAGUUGGCGGGGUAAAGGCCCACCAAGGCGACGAUCCGUAGCUGGUCUGAGAGGAUGAUCAGCCACACUGGAACUGAGACACGGUCCAGACUCCUACGGGAGGCAGCAGUGGGGAAUAUUGGACAAUGGGCGCAAGCCUGAUCCAGCCAUACCGCGUGGGUGAAGAAGGCCUUCGGGUUGUAAAGCCCUUUUGUUGGGAAAGAAAGGCAGCAGGUUAAUACCCCGCUGUUCUGACGGUACCCAAAGAAUAAGCACCGGCUAACUUCGU